GGGUCGAUGGCGUAGUUGGUUAUCGCAUCUGUCUAACAUCAAUCGGAAUGAUUUGUACACAGGUCCUCAGUUCGAACCUGGGUCGACUCA